rnacentral:rRNA from 1 species
UGGGGAAUAUUGCACAAUGGGGGGAAACCCUGAUGCAGCGACGCCGCGUGAGUGAAGAAGUAUUUCGGUAUGUAAAGCUCUAUCAGCAGGGAAGAAAGUGACGGUACCUGACUAAGAAGCCCCGGCUAACUACGUGCC